rnacentral:rRNA from 1 species
AUUGAACGCUGGCGGCAGGCCUAACACAUGCAAGUCGAACGGUAACAGGAAGCAGCUUGCUGCUUUGCUGACGAGUGGCGGACGGGUGAGUAAUGUCUGGGAAACUGCCCGAUGGAGGGGGAUAACUACUGGAAACGGUAGCUAAUACCGCAUAACGUCGCAAGACCAAAGAGGGGGACCUUAGGGCCUCUUGCCAUCGGAUGUGCCCAGAUGGGAUUAGCUAGUAGGUGGGGUACCGGCUCACCGAGGCGACGAUCCCUAGCUGGUCUGAGAGGAUGACCAGCCACACUGGAACUGAGACACGGUCCAGACUCCUACGGGAGGCAGCAGUGGGGAAUAUUGCACAAUGGGCGCAAGCCUGAUGCAGCCAUGCCGCGUGUAUGAAGAAGGCCUUCGGGUUGUAAAGUACUUUCAGCGGGGAGGAAGGGAGUAAAGUUAAUACCUUUGCUCAUUGACGUUACCCGCAGAAGAAGCACCGGCUAACUCCGUG